rnacentral:rRNA from 1 species
CGCACGGUAACAUUUCUAGCUUGCUAGAAGAUGACGAGUGGCGGACGGGUGAGUAAUGCUUGGGAACUUGCCUUUGCGAGGGGGAUAACAGUUGGAAACGACUGCUAAUACCGCAUAAUGUCUUCGGACCAAACGGGGCUUCGGCUCCGGCGCAAAGAGAGGCCCAAGUGAGAUUAGCUAGUUGGUAAGGUAACGGCUUACCAAGGCGACGAUCUCUAGCUGUUCUGAGAGGAAGAUCAGCCACACUGGGACUGAGACACGGCCCAGACUCCUACGGGAGGCAGCAGUGGGGAAUAUUGCACAAUGGGGGAAACCCUGAUGCAGCCAUGCCGCGUGUGUGAAGAAGGCCUUCGGGUUGUAAAGCACUUUCAGUUGUGAGGAAAAGUUAGUAGUUAAUACCUGCUAGCCGUGACGUUAACAACAGAAGAAGCACCGGCUAACUCCGUGCCAGCAGCCGCGGUAAUACGGAGGGUGCGAGCGUUAAUCGGAAUUACUGGGCGUAAAGCGCACGCAGGCGGUUUGUUAAGCUAGAUGUGAAAGCCCCGGGCUCAACCUGGGAUGGUCAUUUAGAACUGGCAGACUAGAGUCUUGGAGAGGGGAGUGGAAUUCCAGGUGUAGCGGUGAAAUGCGUAGAUAUCUGGAGGAACAUCAGUGGCGAAGGCGACUCCCUGGCCAAAGACUGACGCUCAUGUGCGAAAGUGUGGGUAGCGAACAGGAUUAGAUACCCUGGUAGUCCACACCGUAACGCUGUCUACUAGCUGUGUGUGUCUUU